rnacentral:rRNA from 1 species
UACGUAGGGUGCAAGCGUUGUCCGGAAUUAUUGGGCGUAAAGAGCUCGUAGGCGGUCUGUCGCGUCGGCUGUGAAAUCCCGAGGCUCAACCUCGGGUCUGCAGUCGAUACGGGCAAACUAGAGUAUUGCAGGGGAGACUGGAAUUCCUGGUGUAGCGGUGAAAUGCGCAGAUAUCAGGAGGAACACCGGUGGCGAAGGCGGGUCUCUGGGCAAUAACUGACGCUGGGGGAGCGAAAAGCGUGGGGAGCGAACAGG